rnacentral:rRNA from 1 species
UACGGAGGGAGCUAGCGUUGUUCGGAAUUACUGGGCGUAAAGCGCACGUAGGCGGCUUUGUAAGUUAGAGGUGAAAGCCCGGAGCUCAACUCCGGAAUUGCCUUUAAGACUGCAUCGCUCGAAUCCAGGAGAGGUGAGUGGAAUUUACGGUGUAGCGGUGAAAUGCGUAGAUAUCGUAAGGAAGACCAGUGGCGAAGGCGGGUCUCUGGACAGUUCCUGACGCUGAGGCACGAAGGUCAGGGGAGCAAACGGG